UCCCAUACGUCACUAGCUCAUGGACUCUUGCUAAUAUGAAAGAAAUGAAUUUAUCAGGUAAGUUCUUACAUAAAUUAUGUUUUUAGGCGAGCAGCUUCAUGCAAUGUGGAGGGUUUACGGUCCCGAACCCACUCUCUAACUCCUGCUGAUAACUUGUCAAAGCAAUGUUCCAACAGGAAUAGCUGCAGCACCUCUUCCCCGGAUACGGCUUGGCACCCCGCCAUCCAGUGAGCUGCUGUGCGGUGCACCUUAUAUGCCCACUCAACGUAGGAAUCACCAGCUAAUUUAACAAUGUCUCUGAACCGCCUCCGGUAUGCCUCCGGUGUAACCGCAUACCUGGAGAGCAGAGCCUCUUUUACAGUAUUAUAAUCCCCGACUUCCUCAUCUGGAAUGGCCCGAAAAGCCUCUCUGGCCCGGCCGGAUAAUUUUCCGGAUAAUAUCGUGACCCAGUCCUCUGCGGGUACCUGGUGUAGUGCACAUUGCCUCUAAAAAUCCGCAAGGUACCCAUCAAUCUCUCCUUCUGUUUCCAGGAAGUUUUUAAAAGCUGCAAAAUUUACUUUUCUCUUUUCCACUGGGGUUGCUGUGACUUGGGCUGCUGCAGCGCCGCUUUAGCGAAGUAGGUUGGCCUCCACAGCUGCUAUGACCCGGUCGAUAAUUUCCGCAGAUGAGUUGGGGCCAUAAUGUGCCAGUCUUAUUUUAACCGCCCGAUCAAAGCUUGCUUCUUCGGGGGUUCUGUCUGAUAUGCUGGGCCCAUUGGUUCCUUCGGUCCCUGGUACUCCUUCCAUCUUAGUCAGUAUUGUAAUAAUCCCCCUCUUCCUGAGGUUACUGGCUUGUGUAGUUGCUCUUCUGGGCGAUAAGGAUCAUCCCGUCGCUUGCCACCAAUGUUACGGUACCAGCAGGAUACCAAGGGUUAAUACCAGAUGAACGAUGUCCUGAAUAUGGGAUCAGCAACUCACAACCCAGCCAGUUCCCCCCUCAAACAUGAGACCAGGCUCCACAUUGAAGGUAAAAACAGAAUGCACUUUAUUGAAGGCUACAUGCCCAGUAUUUAUGCAGGUCUGACCCCAGAUGGGGGGUUGAAAAGAAUAUUGUACAUUAGAUAGAGGGAAAACGCCCUUUGACAUGAUACAAUAGAAUUACAUUACUUAAGCAGAUAAACAAUUUAGUCUUUCUUAUCACUUGGGCGUCUGCUCUCUGGAUGUGAUUAAACAAUGUGAAUGUUUAUCACUAAACUUAAUUACAGUACACAAUAGCUGAGGCUAGCAACCUUGUCUUUAGAAAAUAGCUUCUUAAAGCUGAACAAAGUUAACUCUUUCAGUACUGACAGAAGGGUCUGUCACACGAAUGAUAAAAGCUGCUAACACAGUAACCUUUCAGUCCUAAGGAGAUUCUGACUGCAUAAAGGAACCUGGGGAAAGAGGUAACAAAAAACACAGACAACAAGCUGCAUACAGGAGGGUUUAAAGUGUUGGAUGCUAAAACACAGUGCAAGUAUAAACACAUAAUAAAAGUGGCAUUUCAGUGAGCCUUCAGAGCAGAAGGUGUGAGCCAUGUCUUUUUUUGCGAUCCUCCAAAUAAGGAACAUUACUUAUUUGUGGCUACAGCCCCACUUAAUUUAAACUACAGAGGGAAGACCCCCCUUUUUUAGUUUUACAUGUUUUUAAGAGUGCACACUCUAUAUUGUUAUCAUAUAUGAAUUGUGAUUUUAUGAUUGUAUUUUUAGAAGAUAGAAAUAACUUGUGUUUUAAAUACUGCCUUUUUUUAGCAAAUAGGUUUUAAUUGAAAUAAUUUUUAUUGAAUUUUUGGUAAUCUUACAAAUCUCACAAGAAACCUAUACGAGUUAUAAAUAGGUUGUACAGACAUGUCAACAAGUCAUAUAAUAACAAUCUCUUGUACUCCUGAGUGGCACUGAAAACACAAAGAUACAAACAGAGCUCAGCCUAUCAUGCCCUUCACCCUAAAUGAACCAGUAUGAAAUAAACUAUACCUAACUAGAAACUAUACCCUCCUCCCCCCGCCCCCCCCCUCCCGGUAUUUCCAAGAACUCUAACCAAUAGCAAGUGUACUAAAUGGCCCUAUAUCCAGAGGUUGCUACAGAAAUUGUUAACACUGCAACCACCUCAACUUCCCUCCAUUCCUUCUACCCAUGUAUUUCCCGUGGAGGUCACAUUUAGCCCACCUCUCUCAUAAUCCAAUGAAACAACACUUUUUGGAACUGAUCAGUAGUCCACGCAGCCAACUCUGACAUUGUGUAUGCGUCAUUAAUUUUAUCCAUAACCUCUGUCCAACUUGGUGCACCCACCUUCUAAUGUCUAGCUAUGCAAAUUCGUAAAUAAGUACAAAGAGUUUUAAUGUAUGUGUUAACUGCAGAGUUAAAUGGUUUUACCUUAUCGUUCAGGAGCGCCUGGGCUAUCGUUAGUGUAAUGUGUUCAUUUAUUGUGUUACCCAGCAGCUCCGAAAGCUUCACCCAUAAUGGUUGCAAUUUUGGGCAAUCCCACCACAUGUGCCUGUACGUCCCCGUCUCCUUACAUCCCCUAUAGCAAGUUCCUGGACUUAGUGAUGAGUAGUGCGCUGUCCGUUCAGCCGUACGAUACCACCUGAAGUACAACUUAAUGCAAUUUUCCUUCAUAUCUGCGCUCAACAAUCCUUUACUAGAAUCUAGCAGAAUUUCAUCCCAGGGAAAGGGGUUGUCUCGGUCUAUUAGAUAUGUAUUUAGUGAUAGCUGAUGAUAUCUGCAGGUAAAGGAACCAAUGUAAUUUAUAUGGUUGAAUUCUAUCCUGAAUCUGAAUAAAAGUAAAUACCUUGGUUUUUUCUAAGAAGUCUGCCACCCUGUAUAGUCCUUUGUUUUCCCAUUUCCCAGCUAACUUCCUAAGUUGCAGAGGGAGUAAAAAUUUCAAAGGUAGUGUCCAGGACUGGGAGGGAUAUAUUUUCAAUUUUUGGUUGAUCAUGUGUCACAUAUGUACUUGUUACUGGGGAUCUAUAUGUAGGUGACCUCACUCUCAGUGCGGGGUCCCACAAAACAUCUGCCGGGCUCUCGCACCUCGCUAUAUCUGCUUCUCCUUGGCCAGAUGACCUCCUUUAAAUUUUUCCCCAGAAUGGUAGAUUGUGCCAGCCUUGAGGCUUGGUAAUAUUCUAUCAGGUUCGGGACCCCCCCCCCACCUGUCCAUGUUGUUUCAACAGCUGUGAAGCAAUUCUAGCCUUCCCAUCCCCUUUUAGAAAGCGAAGCAAAUCUGCCUGUAAGGCAUUCAAAUCUGCCAGGGGGACCCCAAUCGGCAGAGCUCGAAAGAGAUACAUAACCCUGGGAAGAACAUUCAUUUUUAUAGCCGAUAGUCUCCCAUACCACGAGAACCUGCCCUUUUUCCAGUUGUUUAGAUCUUUCCUAACCAUUUUAUAAAUGGGUUCAUAAUUUAAUUUGUAUAGGUCUGAGAAAUUACUGUUUAACUUAACCCCAAGAUAUGUAAUGUGAAUUUUUGCCCAUGUCAGAUUAAAAUUCAAUUCAAUCAUUUUCUUUGUAUGAGAGGGGAGACCGACCGGGAGUGCCUCGCACUUGUCUAAAUUAACCUUAUAACCCAAUAUCUCCGAGAACUCCCUUAGAAUAUUAUAGAGAUUAGGUAGAGAGAUCAGGGGUCUGGUCAAUGUUAACAAGACAUUGUCGGCGAAUAAUGUAAGUUUAUAUUCCUCACUUGCCAACUGAAUACCCGAUACAACGUCCGACUGUCUAAUGAGCGCUGCCAGCGGCUCAAUGCAUACAGCAAACAGCGGCGAGAGCGGGCACCCUUGACGGGUCCCAUUUAAAAUAUCUAUGGACUGACAUUUUUUCUGACUAUUCACUCCUAUAACUCUGGAGGUUUUUUUACCAUACUGAUACUUUCCGUUUCCACCAGAAACUAGAUACAUUUGAUGUUUAUUCUGAAUUGUUAUAUGUACAUUUUAUUCUUCCAUAAAAUUUACUGUUAGACACAUGGAUCCAUGUAAUAUAUUUUAUACUUUGUUAAAAUAAAGGAGUUUUAAUUUUAUCAUCCAUAUAUAACACUCUCACUGCCUAUACCACUACCCAUUUAGGUGCUCCUUUUUUGAGUUUCUCUUUUUGCAAUUUUUAUUUGGUGAGCUAGGGCACAUGUUAUUAAGAAGCUUAAGUGGUCACUAUCAUUUAGCUCUGAGUAUAUCUUUUAACAUUAGCAUGAUAAAAAUGUUACUCAACCCUACAGAGUAAGCUAACCAGUGGAUUUCCUUGUUAUCUUCAGUUAUCAUAACAGAGUAUCUCUUCGUCUAGCUCUACCUACUGUGUGCAUUAUACAGUAUUAGCUGGUGUUUUUAAGAGUUUAUAUCUGAUAUCACCAUAAGAGAUACCAUUUAUGACCUAUUUUAAUUCUGGUGUGAUGUAAUACAAAAAAAAAAAGUUGCUCUCUCUGUCUAACUUUUGUGGUUGCAAGGUAGUUUUUCCUUCAUCCCCCAUAGCAGCAAGUUACUAUAUGGUCUUUGGAGCUUGUUCCUUUUAAACCAUAAGUUUUAAUUUUGCAUAGUGAAACACAUUGAAGUGUGCUUUUAUCAUUCAUUAUGCCUACUUUUCUUGUAAUUUUAAUCUGAAAAUGUGUUGGAAUAGCAGGACCAGACAUUCCAUAAGGCAGAGUAGGCUUCUGUCUGAGAGCUAAUCAUAGCAAUGUGUAAUUGUGUGGAGUGGAGUGAUUUAAAACUAAACUUUUAUAUGAAUCAUGUGUAAAAGGAGAGUGGAAUGUUCCACUAUUAAAAUUAAAUACAAAUAAAUGUAAAACCGUGUCAAAAAUACAAAUUGACACACAAACUCCUCCCUGAAUUCGGUGCAGUGAUCAGUCUGCACCGAUAACCAGUCCCCCUAGCAAGUUAAUUGGUGAGCUUUCAAUCCGCAGACUUUGUGAUAGUGUCAAUAUAUCAAGCUAGAAAAACACAGUUAAGUAAAUCAAAUUAAUUGUGAAAAUAAGUAUACUACAAAGUGCGUGUGCACAAUAGCCUGGUUCCUUAAAAAUCACAAAAUGAGAUGUAUAUAUGUAACGAUAGUCUGACAAUUAUUCUAUCUUGGUCAGUAACGGGUAAAGCCAAAAACCGCUACUAUUUCCUUAUUAUACACUGUGAGUCGGGUAUCGACAGUAUAACUAGUAACAGUGUUUAAAGUCUACCCGGUAGAAAUGGUUUAGCUAAAAAUGUAUUCAGUACUGUAGUAGGUACGAAGUAGGUAAAUUAUCAUUGCCCUGUACCGGAAGCAAUUGCCAAAAUGGCACACAGUUUAAGCUAAACCUUUAAAAUCACCAUUGUGAUUUGGAGAGGACAUAGGACCAUGAGGCCUAAUUAUCAAGCUGUCAACUAUGCUGCAUUUGACGGCACCAAUACGCUCAUCUAACAUCGCCUAACAUUGCUGCCGCGGACCUGAAUACGAUCUCAAUAUUUAUUAAAAAAAGCUGGCAAAGAGCCGCGCACCAAGUACGGGGCGAUGAGCAGCGGACUGUUGUUAACUAACAGUCAUCAAUCUCGCUGCUAUUCGGCUUUUCCCCAACUUUAUUUAUACCCUGUCACUAAACACCUCCACUAUACUUAAAAUGUUUAACCCCUAUCCCGCCGCUCCCGGACCUCACCGCAACUAAAUAAAUGUAUUAACUUAUGAUAGUUUUCCUAAAGUUUUAAUUCACCUGUCUUAUCCAGUUUCUACAAAUAUAUUACACUGCGUGAGCUACACUGCAAAUAUACGGCUAGAUUACGAGUUUUGCGGUAAGAGUGAAAAAGCAUCUUUAAGGCUCUUUUUCACUACCGCUGGUAUUACGAGUCUUGCAGGUUUAGGGGCACCGUACACUUUUUUUGGCCGUAACGCAACUUAAUUACAGCAGCUUUCAAAAAGUCAUUUUUCAAUGGACCUUUGUGCCGGUAUUACGAGUCUGCCUGGGAGACCAAAAAGUGAGUGCUACACCCUAUUCCGUCAAGAUCCAUACCGUAAACUGAAAGUCAGUAGUUAUGAGUUUUAAGUUACAAAUCUGUAGCAUAAAACUCAUAACUAAAGUGCUAAAAAGUACACUAAACGCCCAUAAACUACCUAUUAACCCCUAAACCCCUGGCCUCCCACAUCACUACCACUAACUAAACCUAUUAACCCCUAAACUGCCAGCCCCCCCCACAUCGCCAUAAACUAAAUUAAGCUAUUAAUCCCUAAACCUAACAAUCCGAUAACUUUAUAUUAAAAUUACCUCAUCCCUAUCUUAUAAUAAAUUUAAACUUACCUUUAGAAUUAAAUUAAACUAUAUUAAACUAUUUAUUAACCUACCCUAUUAUACUACAAUUACAUUAAACUAACAAUUAAAUUAACUAUAUUACAUAUUUAAAAACCUAACCCUACUCUAGUUAUUUAAAUCUACAAAUUAAAAUGUACUAAAUUACAAAAAAAUAACAACUAAGUUACAAAAAAUAAUUAUACCUAAUCUAAGAGCCUUAUCAAAAUAACGUCCCCCAUAAAUAAAAAAAAACCUAGCCUACACUAAACUACCAAUGGCCCUUAAAAGGGCCUUUUGCGGGGCAUUGCCCCAAAGAAAUCGGCUCUUUUACCUGUAAAAAAAAAAAAAAAAAAACCCCAACAGUAAAACCCACCACCCACACAACCGAACCCCCCAAAUAAAAACUAUCUAAAAAAACCAAAGGGCAUUUGUAUGGGCAUUGCCCUUAAAAGUGCAUUUAGCUCUUUUACUGCCCAAAGUCCCUCUUCUUCCGACGUCUGUUGAAGAAUAAAGUUUCCCUUUAAAUGACGUCAUUCAAUAUGGGUUCCCUUACAUUCCGAUUGGCUGAUAGAAUUCUAUCAGACAAUAGGAAUUAAGGAGGAAAAAAUCCUAUUGGCUGUUGCAAUCAGCCAAUAGGAUUCAGCUUUCAUCCUAUUGGCUGAUCCAAUCAGCCAAUAGGAUUGAGCUUGCAUUCUAUUGGCUAUUCCAAUCCAACCAGUUAUGUAAUUUAGGCAAUAUUUACAUGUCCAAAUACAUCUUAAACAUGCAACCUAAAUGUAGUUUUUAUAUCCUUUUUGUAUACAUAGUACCAUCAGAAAGAUAGUACAGUACUGUAAUCAGAAAGGCAAUUGUUACUGUUUUAAAUAAAUAAAGGCUAUAGUUUUGGAUUUAGAACACAAAAAAGAAACCAAAGACACAGGCAAAGAAGACAGUGACUUACUGGUGGGCAAAAUGGUACUUUUGAAUAAUUUUACUUUAAAAAAGAUAUUAAUGUAAAAUUCUAGAUUUGAGAAAUAUUCUGGAUUUUAGAAUUCCAGAUUUGGGGAUUUAUACAUGUAUGUUGAAAAGGAAGAUUCUUGAUCAUUGGAAGUGCUAAGAUUUAUUUUGCACUUAGCAUUUGAGGUAAGGGAUACAAAUCUAGCCCUGCUAAAUAGGUAUGUUUUUUUUGUUUUGUUUCUUUAUAUGUUAUAAACACAAAAAUAUGCUGUUUAAAUCAAUUUGACUAUUUGUGAACGUUGGCAGAGAAAGGAAGUGAUGCCUUAGUAACAAUAUAUAACUUCUAUGUCUCAUUAAGGUUUAUACAAGUACCCACUGUAGAUCAGUUUAAUAUAUUGCUUUUACAAGUGGCCACUAAGCAGCACUUAAAAUAAACUAUUUUUUAACACCUUGUUUUAUCAAGCCAUGCUUAUACAGCUGUACCGUAACCACAUGUGUGUCUAGAAUGUUUUCCAGACCUUCCUGAUCGAGUAAAUAAGACUGUCACAAUCACAGUUUUUUUCGGCUCACAGAAAAAAAGGUCUUAUACAUAAAAUGGGGCAGUCCAGUUCAAAGUGAUCACUACCCAAUUUAUUUGUACGUUUUUAACAGAUUUUCAGCACUGCUUCUUUCGUAAGGUGGUAAAAGUCCAUUACUUCUGGGAAUUCAGUUCCUAGCCACUAGUAGGAGUUUUGAUACCUUAGGAGGUGAGGUUACCAAUAAAUAUUCUAGAACUUCGGGUGAUCUUAAAAGCUGGCCUAUUCGGAAGAAUGAGUCUCUUCUUCGUAUUUAGUCGGACAAUGUCACGGCUGCAGCAUAUAUCAAUCAUCAAGGACGUACUCAUUGUUCUCUGGCAAUAAAGGAGGUAUCUUGCAUUAGCCAAUAGGCAGAGAACCAUUGUAUAAUUUCUGUGAUUCACAUUCCACGUGUGAACAACAGGGAUGUGGAUUAUAUGUCACCAAACCUUUCUUUUGGGGGAAUGGUCUCUUCAUUCAGAUGUCUUCAAUCAGAUAGUCCAGAAAUUGGGCCUCUUGAUUAAAUCACAAGCUGCCCAUAUAUUUCCGAAGUCCAGGGAUCCUUGUGCGGAGAACAUAGAUGCUCUAAAAGCUCCUUGGUCUUUUCGUUUGGCUUAUUUAUUUACUCCUACUUUUUUACUUCCAUAAGUGAUAGCUUGGAUAAAACAGGAACUGUUAUCAGUGAUUCUCAUAGCUCCAGCUUGGUCUCGCAAAACUUGGUUUGCAGACCUAGUUCAAAUGUCCAGUUCUCUUCCAUUAUUUGUUCCCCUUUAUCCAGACCGUUUAACUGUAGGUUCAUUUUGUCAUCAACAUCUUGAGUCUCUGAACCUGAUGGCUUGGAAAUUGAAUGAGGCAGUAAUAAGUAUUUUGGUUGAAGCAACAAAACCAGUCACUAGAAGAAUGUAUCACAAGACAGGAAAAUUUUUAUUUUGUGGUGUGAGUCACAUAGCUUUAAUUGGUAUUCCUUCAGAGUUCUUCAGUUUUUACAAGAUAAUAUAGAUAAGGGAUUAUUGUCCAGUUCAAGAAAAUUGCUGAACUUCCAGAUAUCCAGAGUUUUGUUCAAACUUUGAUCAGAUUGAAACCCUUUAUUAAACCAAUUUCUCCUCCCUGGAACCUUCGCUUGAUACUACGGGUCCUGCAGGGUCACAUUUUGAACCUAUGCGUUCUCUUGAUAUUUUGUUUCUAUCUUGGAAAGUAGUACUUUUCUUAGCAAUCUAUUCUGCUUAAUGAAUUUCAGAGUUGUCUGCGCUUUCUUGUAAUCCUCCUUAUUUAGUCUUGCAUCAGGACAAGGUGGUUUUGCGGACCAAUUUAGAUAUUUUUGCCAAAAGGUAUAUUGUCAGAUAACAUCAAUAGAGAAAUUGUGGUUCAUUCUCUUUGUCCUAAUCCUCAUAAUUAUAAGGAAAGACUUUUGCAUAAUUUGGAUGUUGCGCAAGCCUUAAAAUUGUAUCUUCAGACCACUAUAAACAGACCUCUAGUUUGUUUAAUUUUUCUGACCUACAUAGGGGACAAAAGGCCUUGGCAGUUACCCUGGCUUCAUGGUUGAAACUUUUAGUUCACAAGGCUUACUUGGAGGCGGGGAAGUCUUACCCAAAGCCUAUUACUGCUCAUUCUAGAAGAUCAGUUUUUUAUUUCCUGAGCUCUCAGGAAUGAGGCUUCAUAGGAACAAAUUUGCAAGGCAGCAACAUGGUCAUCCCUGCAUAAAUUUAAUAAUACAUUUUAUCAUUUUGAUGUUUUUGCUUCAGUGGAAGCAGCCUUUGGUAGGAAAGUCCUCCAGGCUACAGUUUCACGAAAUUAGGUGCUUGCCUUUUUUCUAUGUAUUUCCCUCACUCAUUACUCGUUGACCCCAUAGCUUGGGUAUUAUUUCUCAAAAGUAAUUAACUCAUAGACUCUCACCACCUUACGAAAGAAAACAUAAUUUAUGCUUAACUGAUAAAUUCAUUUCUUUCGAGGUGGUGAGAGUCCGUAAGGCCUGCCUAAUAUAUAUUUUUUGUAAUUUGCUGCCAGCAGUUCUAGUGUUUUUGCACCUAAUUUCCAUUUUCUAUUCUUUCCUAUCUUUCUCCUUCUUGGCUAUACAUAAAACUGGCUUAUCAGUGAUGUGGGAGGGAUAGAGAACUCUUGGAGUUUUGUGAAUCUCCUCCUAGUGGCCAGGAACUGAAUUCCUAGAAGUAAUGAACUUGUGGACUCUUACCACCUCAAAAAAUUGAAUUUAUCGGGUAAGCAUAAAUUGUGGGGGGGGGGGUUUCACUUAUCAAAUUUGACAGCUAAAGGCUCUUAAUAAAAUGCAAAACUGGGUGUUUCAGCAUAUUUCAAGUUGUAUUGGAAUGGAACAGUUAUUUUGCACAUGGCCAAUACAAUACAAUAAAUAUCAAUAAAUUAUCUAGAUUCAUUGAGCCUUUUUUUCAAUCAUCCUUGUAUAGACCAUCACUAGUAGACGUCCUAAAAUUUACAUGUGUUGUAUAAUAGCCAAAUACAUGAUAUCUUCUACAGCAAACAGAUCUGCUGAAAAUGUGAAAAAUCAGCAAUAAUGACUGCAUCUAGAAAAGACUUAUCAGUAAUUUUAAUAAAAUGUUUUGUUUUCAUAUUCACAUUUUAGUAAUAUUAAAGGGGCUGUCUACUUGAAAAUUGUUAUUGUUUUAAAAGAUAGAUAAUCCCUUUAUUAACCGUUCCCCAGUUUUGCAUAACCAACACUGUUAUAGAAAUAUAAUUUUUACCUCUGUGAUUACCUUGUAUCUAAGUCUCUGAAGACUGCACCCUUAUCUCAGUGCUUUUUACAAAUCUGCAUUUUAGCAAAUUAGUGCUGGUUCCUGAAUAACUCCACGGGAGUGAGCACAAUGUUAUCUAUAUGACACACCUAGCACUGUCUAGCUGUGAAAAGCUAAUAAAAUGCACUGAGAUAGGAGCAGGUCUUCAGGGGCUUAGAAACAGGCAGAUAUUUAGAAGUUAUAAAGUAUAUUUAUAUACCAAUGUUAGUUAUAUGGGAAAUAGGUAGUAAAGGUGUUGUUUAUCUUUUUAAACAAUAAAAUAAUCAUGUAGACUGUCCCUUUAAGUUAUAGCAUGUUUGUUUUAUCUUUCGGCAGUCACAUAAUUGUGAGCAAAAUAUUAAUGUUUAGCUUCCUUCUUGUGUGUUGGCUACCAAGAUCAUGUUUUUAAAGGGUUAUUCCGGUCAAAAUUUAAAUGCACAUAGAGGAAUAACAUUUUUCUCUGCAAGUGCACUUGAAGGAUAGCUGUAUAUUCUUAGUACACCAGCAUUUUAAAUACUGCAGCUGUUCUGAGUGCCAGUGGGGCUUUUAUUAUAUUAACAAAUUGAGCCAUUACCAGAUGAUACAAUCACCUUAGGCUCUCUGAGAAAGUGCUGUGUUUAAAAUGCUGGUGCACAAUGCAUUUGAAACAUCUAUGGCUUUUAUUAGAAGCAUUUUGCUAACACAUGUGUAUGACAAAAAUGCUUCUAUUCAAAACUGAAAUGCAUCCAUGUGGAUUCCAAUUUUGGGUGGAAUGUCCCUUUGAUACACACUAAUUUUUCACAUGAAGAUUCUUGUAUAGUGAUCUGUUGUUCUUGAUUGAAGAUGAAAAUCUGACAAUGAUUUCUUCUCAAUGAUUGGAAAAAAAAAUAUUAUUACAGUAAAAACAUUUUGUAUUUUUUUUUUUUUAAAGAUCCGUUAAGCAAACAUGCUCAGUAUAACCCUCCUACAUGCCUAUAUUAAAAUUGCAUUAAUAUUGUUCAACUCAUAUUACAAUGGUUUUGGAACUCAAGAUGUUAAUUUAAAAAUGUUAAUUUUUAUUGUGAAUUAAUUUUAUGUGAUACAAUGUACAAAAAGAUCAAUCCAAACAAUUUUAUUUUUGUUAUAUUGUCAGCUGCCAAAUAGCCUUUGUUAACCUAGAAACUUAUACAUUGGACUUUGUGUUCCUAAUGAUCCAUUUUUAUCUACUAGAGUGUAUUGAAUUGUAUACAAAUUGUUCCUUUACCUUUUUGUUUUGUUAUUUUAAAUAGCUGCAUUUGCCUGUUGUAUCCCCACCUAUAUUAAAUAUUUCAAUGCUUAAACGCUGGUUAUAAAAAAGCUUUGUAAACAAUAAGGUUUAGAAGAAAUUACACUCCCAGUAGUUGGUGAGACAGAGUGAUACUAAAAUGCUGAUUUUCCAUUGUUCUCUCUUAGUAUUGGUGUCACUGUCUAUAGAAAUAUAAAAUAUAUAUACAUAUACAUAUAUACUAAUGAGCCCUGCUUUCCCUGUAAGCUCAGCCUGGUUCAAAAUUAUCAGACCGCUAUUUCAUAUAUAAAAAUGAACAGAGAGGAACGAUUUCUCAUACUUUAAACUCUGCAGCUCGUAUGACAUGUUGUAAACACAUUAAGGGGAAAACAAUUUUACGGUACAUUGAACAGCAGACACUCCCCCCCCCCCCCCUUCAUAUGGAAAUACCCAUUACACAAACAGGAGAUAGCUGAAGUCUGUAGACAUCAUUACUGUAAAUAACAAGCACGCUUGACAAUCUUAUGCUAACCUCUUAUUGACAUUUGUAGUGUUUGACAAUUAUUUUAUUAACAGAAGACCCAUGAAAAGCAGAAGUUAUUUGUAACAAGCUGCAAGUGCAUUGGCUGACAUCGAUCCCUUAUAUAUAUAUAUAUCACGUUUCAUAUACAUAUUCCAACCUAUAGCAUGCCAAUCCUGCUCGUGAGUCUAACCUCAUUACAUUAUUGAAUAUAUUAUAUAAUGCUUCAUAUCAGCUACUGAGCAUGUGUGAAAGGACGAGUAAGGUUGUGGAUAAUGUGUCCUGUUUUAUUUACGUUAAAUUGUAUUGUGAUAAACAGAGAAAAAGUCUGUAUUAAAAAAAAGAAUGCAACUGUACUGCUUGUUUGUUUAUUUUUAUUUCAGAUUUACUCUUAUUUGAAUCAAAUUCGUGCAGGACAAUAGUUUAUUAAUGUACAGUUUGUUUUCAAUGGGUGUGAAGAAGUUACUCGCUGUUUUAUUAUUUUGUUUGUGAUCUUUAAAUUAUUCAAAGAAGAAAUAAAAUAACAUUGUUACCUACUGUA